rnacentral:tRNA from 1 species
AAGGCCUUAGUUUAAUUAAAACAUUUGAUUUGCAUUCAGUAGAUGCGAGAUAAACUCUUGUGGGUCUUA